GGUGAAAUGACCGAGAAUAGGUAUUAAACUGUAAAUUUAAUUACGAAGAUUAGUCUUCUUUUACCA
rnacentral:tRNA from 1 species